rnacentral:rRNA from 1 species
AGUGGACGCUGGCGGUAGGCCUAACACAUGCAAGUCGAACGGCAGCACAGUAAGAGCUUGCUCUUACGGGUGGCGAGUGGCGGACGGGUGAGGAAUACAUCGGAAUCUACUUUUUCGUGGGGGAUAACGUAGGGAAACUUACGCUAAUACCGCAUACGACCUACGGGUGAAAGCAGGGGAUCUUCGGACCUUGCGCGAUUGAAUGAGCCGAUGUCGGAUUAGCUAGUUGGCGGGGCAAAGGCCCACCAAGGCGACGAUCCGUAGCUGGUCUGAGAGGAUGAUCAGCCACACUGGAACUGAGACACGGUCCAGACUCCUACGGGAGGCAGCAGUGGGGAAUAUUGGACAAUGGGCGCAAGCCUGAUCCAGCCAUACCGCGUGGGUGAAGAAGGCCUUCGGGUUGCAAAGCCCUUUUGUUGGGAAAGAAAAGCAGCAGGUUAAUACCCCGCUGUUCUGACGGUACCCAAAGAAUAAGCACCGGCUAACUUCGUG